rnacentral:rRNA from 1 species
CCUACGGGAGGCAGCAGUGAGGAAUAUUGGUCAAUGGACGCAAGUCUGAACCAGCCAUGCCGCGUGCAGGAAGACGGCUCUAUGAGUUGUAAACUGCUCUUGUACGAGGGUAAAUGCAGAUACGCGCAUCUGUCUGAAAGUAUCGUACGAAUAAGGAACGGCUAAUUCCGUGCCAGCAGCCGCGGUAAUACGGAGGCUUCAAGCGUUAUCCGGACUUAUUGGGUUUAAAGGGUGCGUAGGCGGUCGGAUAAGUUAGAGGUGAAAUGCGGAGGCUCAACUUCGGAAUUGCCGCUGAUACUGGUCAGCUAGAGAGUAGUUGAGGUAGACGGAAUGUAUGGUGUAGCGGUGAAAUGCUUAGAGAUCA